UCGAGAGGCACACCAACACCAGCAGAUGAGCCUCCGUUUAAUACUUGGGAUAUUAUAACAGUAAGUUAUAGCUCCAGAAGUCAGUCACCAGCAGCAGAUGUCACACAGUUAUAAAAUGGGAAACUUGUAGAAUAAGCUCCAGAAGUCAGCAGCAGCAGACGUCACACAGCCAUAAUGUGAGAAGCUUGAAGAAUAAUGUGGUAGUGGUUUGGAUACAUAUGACAUAUUUCA